GCUUACGGCCACACCGCCUUGUUCACGCCCUCGCCCGAUCUCGGAAGCUAAGAUAGGUUGGGCCUGGUUAGUACUUGGAUGGGAGACCGCCUGGGAAUACCAGGUGCUGAAAGCU
rnacentral:rRNA from 1 species